CCCAUGGUGGCCACUGGUCCCAUGGGUGAUCAGUGGUCAGUGUCCAUCACCCAUGGGUGGUCACUGGUCCCAUGGGUGACCAGUGGCCAGUGUCCAUCACCCGUGGUGGCCAGUGGUCAGUGUCCAUCACCCAUGGCUGGUCACUGGUCCCAUGGGUGGUCACUGGUCCCAUGGGUGAUCAGUGGCCAGUGGUCAGUGUCCAUCACCCCAUGGCUGGUCACUGGUCCCAUGGGUGAUCAGUGGUCAGUGUCCAUCACCCAUGGCUGAUCACUGGUCCCAUGGUGGCCACUGGCCAGUGUCCAUCACCCCAUGGGUGAUCAGUGGUCAGUGUCCAUCACCCAUGGGUGGUCACUGGUCCCAUGGUGGCCAGUGACCAGUGUCCAUCACCCAUGGUGGCCACUGGCCAGUGUCCAUCACCCCAUGGGUGAUCAGUGGCCAGUGGCCAGUGUCCAUCACCCCAUGGGUGAUCAGUGGUCAGUGGUCAGUGUCCAUCACCCCAUGGCUGCUCACUGGUCCCAUGGGUGAUCAGUGACCAGUGUCCAUCACCCAUGGUGGCCACUGGCCAGUGUCCAUCACCCCAUGGGUGGCCAGUGGUCAGUGUCCAUCACCCCAUGGCUGGUCACUGGUCCCAUGGGUGAUCAGUGGUCAGUGUCCAUCACCCAUGGCUGCUCACUGGUCCCAUGGGUGAUCAGUGGCCAGUGUCCAUCACCCAUGGGUGGUCACUGGUCCCGUGGUGGCCACUGGCCAGUGUCCAUCACCCCAUGGCUGCUCACUGGUCCCAUGGGUGAUCAGUGGCCAGUGUCCAUCACCCAUGGCUGCUCACUGGUCCCAUGGUGGCCACUGGCCAGUGUCCAUCACCCGUGGGUGGUCACUGGUCCCAUGGGUGAUCAGUGACCAGUGUCCAUCACCCCAUGGCUGGUCACUGGUCCCAUGGUGGCCACUGGCCAGUGUCCAUCACCCCAUGGGUGAUCAGUGGCCAGUGUCCAUCACCCCAUGGGUGAUCAGUGGCCAGUGUCCAUCACCCAUGGGUGGUCACUGGUCCCAUGGGUGAUCAGUGGCCACUGGCCAGUGUCCAUCACCCGUGGUGGUCACUGGUCCCAUGGCUGCUCACUGGUCCCAUGGGUGAUCAGUGAUCAGUGGUCAGUGUCCAUCACCCAUGGUGGUCACUGGUCCCGUGGUGGCCACUGGCCAGUGUCCAUCACCCCGCUGACCGCUCGCCCCCCCAGCGGCAUGGCGNUGGUCCCAUUGAGUGGUCAGUGGUCAUUGUGGGUGGUCAGUGGUCCCAUUGAGUGGUCAGUGGUCCCAUUGAGUGGUCAGUGGUCAUUGUGAGUGGUCAGUGGUCCCAUUGAGUGGUCAGUGGUCCCAUUGAGUGGUCAGUGGUCCCUGUGAGUGGUCACUGGCCCCAUGGGUGGUCAGUGGUCCCAUUGAAUGGUCACUAGUCCCAUUGAGUUGUCACUGGUCCCAUGGGUGGUCAGUGGUCCCACAGGUGAUCAGUGGCCAGUGUCCAUCACCCCACGGGUGGUCAGCAGUCAGUGUCCAUCACCCAUGGCUGCUCACUGGUCCCAUGGGUGAUCAGUGGCCAGUGGUCAGUGUCCAUCACCCCAUGGGUGGUCACUGGUCCCGUGGGUGAUCAGUGGUCAGUGUCCAUCACCCAUGGGUGGUCACUGGUCCCAUGGGUGAUCAGUGGCCAGUGGUCAGUGUCCAUCACCCAUGGCUGGUCACUGGUCCCACGGUGACCACUGGCCAGUGUCCAUCACCCAUGGUGAUCAGUGGCCAGUGGUCAGUGUCCAUCACCCAUGGGUGGUCACUGGUCCCAUGGUGGCCACUGGUCCCAUGGGUGAUCAGUGGUCAGUGUCCAUCACCCAU
rnacentral:lncRNA from 1 species